UCAGACGGCCGGGCGGCCGCUGGUCCUGGACUGGUUCCAGGGCUGGAGGAAAGUCCGGGCUCCACGGGAAUACGGUGCUGGUCAACGGCCAGCGAGGGCGACCUCAGGGAAAGUGCCACAGAAAUCAGACCGCCAGCCCGGCUUGCCGCGCUGGUAAGGGUGAAACGGUGCGGUAAGAGCGCACCGCGCCCCUGGCAACAGGGGCGGCACGGUAAACCCCACCGGGAGCAAGGCCGAAUAGGGGUGGCCGGCGGAAGUCCUGCAAGGGACUCGACCGCGGGGACGUUUCCCGUCCUGCCACCCGGGUUGGCCGCGAGAGGCAUGCCGCGAGGCAUGUCCCAGAGGAAUGGUCGCCUCAUCCUGACGGCAUUGCCGGCAGGGUGGACAGAACCCGGCUUACAGGCCGUCUGACGCU
rnacentral:RNase_P_RNA from 2 species